UAGGAUUUGGUUUAGGAUUUGGUUAGGGUUUGGUUAGGAUUUGGUUUAGGAUUUUGUUUAAGGUUUGAUUAGGGUUUGGAUUAGGAUUUGAUUUAGGAUUUAGGAUUUAGGGUUUGUAUUAGGAUUUGGUUUAGGAUUAGGAUUUGAUUAGGAUUUGGUUAGGGUUUGGUUUAGGAUUUAGGAUUUGGAUUAGGGUUUGGUUUAGGAUUUAGUUAGGAUUUUAUUUAGGGUUUAAGGUUUGAUUUGGGAUUUGGUUAGGAUUUGGUUUAGGAUUUGGUUGGAGUUUGAUUUAAGGUUUGUUUAGGGUUUGAUUUAGGGUUUAGGAUUUUAUUAGGAUU
rnacentral:lncRNA from 1 species